CCUACGGUGGGCAGCAGUGGGGAAUAUUGGGCAAUGGGCGCAAGCCUGACCCAGCAACGCCGCGUGAAGGAAGAAGGCUUUCGGGUUGUAAACUUCUUUUGACAGGGAAGAGCAGAAGACGGUACCUGUCGAAUAAGCCACGGCUAACUACGUGCCAGUAGCCGCGGUAAUACGUAGGUGGCGAGCGUUAUCCGGAAUGAUUGGGCGUAAAGGGUGCGCAGGCGGUCCUGGAAGUCUGGAGUGAAACGGAUGGGCUCAACGCAUGCAUGGCGUUGGAAACUGGAGGACUGGAGGGCAGGAGAGGGCGGUGGAACUCCAUGUGUAGCGGUAAAAUGCGUAGAUAUAUGGAAGAACACCAGUGGCGAAGGCGGCCGCCUGGCCUGUUGCUGACGCUGAGGCACGAAAGCGUGGGGAGCAAAUAGGAUUAGAUACCCCAGUAGUC
rnacentral:rRNA from 1 species